AUGGAUGCCAUGUCAUGCCUGGCGCCGCCACCAUCGGCGUCGUUCCUCUCGGCCUCCUCGCCCGGGCCGGCCUACUACACCGACGCCGCCAUCACGCAAGCGCUGCACUUCUCCUCUAUGUCCAUGCCCCAGCACGAGUACGCUUACUCCCCCGCAGUCUCCUCCCCCUCCUCCGCCUCGGGGCCCUCCUCGUCCUCUCUCCUCGCGGACUUCUCAUGCGGCGCCGGGGACAGCAGCUGGUUCGCCUCCACGGCCGCGCCGCCGAUGGGAUCGCUCGCCUGCGACUCCGUCGCGCCGUCCACCCCCGUCCGCGCCACGGCGAACAAGAGGCGGGUCGGCCUUGGGCCCAACGCAGCGGGCGCCGGCCGGGCCGGGAAGCGGCGGGCGAGGCCGUCAAAGCGCGCGCCGACCACGUACAUCAGCACCGACGCCGCCAACUUCCGGCUCAUGGUGCAGCACGUCACGGGCGUCCAGGCCGAGCCCGGUGCGGCAGACGGCAGCGUCCUGCCCGCGUCGUCGUUCGACGCGUCGUCCCCCGCCCUGCUGCUGGAGCUGGACUGCACCGCUUUCGACUGCGCGUUCGGGGACGCGCUGCGGCUGCCGUCGGACGACGACGCGGCGGCGCUCCAUCGCCACCACCAACAGCAGCUGGUGCAGCAACAGCAGCCGUGCUUCCCUACGCUGGACUCGUGGAGCGUCAUGUACGAGAGCAGCCAGCUGAUCUAG
rnacentral:rRNA from 1 species